rnacentral:rRNA from 1 species
GACGAACGCUGGCGGCGUGCUUAACACAUGCAAGUCGAACGGUGAAGCGCCUUCCUUUUUGGUGGGUGUGGAUGAGUGGCGAACGGGUGAGUAACACGUGAGUAACCUGCCCCCUUCUUCUGGAUAACCGCAUGAAAGUGUGGCUAAUACGGGAUAUUCUGGGUCUGUCGCAUGAUGGGUCUGGGAAAGAUAUUGUUUCGGUGGGGGAUGGGCUCGCGGCCUAUCAGCUUGUUGGUGGGGUGAUGGCCUACCAAGGCGGUGACGGGUAGCCGGCCUGAGAGGGUGGACGGCCACACUGGGACGGAGACACGGCCCAGACUCGUAAGGGAGGCAGCAGUGGGGAAUAUUGCACAAUGGGCGCAAGCCUGAUGCAGCGACGCCGCGUGAGGGAUGGAGGCCUUCGGGUUGUGAACCUCUUUCGCCAGUGAAGCAGGCCUGCCUCGUUUGUGGGUGGGUUGACGGUAGCUGGAGAAGAAGCGCCGGCUAACUACGUG